rnacentral:rRNA from 1 species
AGGUCAAGGUACUAAGGGCAUGCGGUGGAUGCCUUGGCGGCGGGAGGCGACGAAGGGCGUGGUAAGCUGCGAUAAGCCCCGGGGAGCCGCAAACAGGCGUUGAUCCGGGGAUGCUCGAAUGGGGAAACCCGGCUGGUCGUAAGACCAGUCGUCGCCGAAAGGCGGUGCGAUACCGGGGGAAGUGAAACAUCUCAGUACCCCGAGGAAAAGAAAUCAAAACGAGAUUCCCUGAGUAGCGGCGAGCGAAAGGGGAGGAGCCUAAACCAGUGCAAUGCUCAAGCCCGUGGGCGUUGUUGCACUGGGGUUGUGGGGCGCAACCGGGCGGGGCCACGGACCCGCCGGGAAGUUACAAAUCCUCUACUUAGCCGAAGUGCCUGGGAUGGCACGCCAGAGAGGGUGACAGCCCCGUAGGCGAAAAGUAGAGGACUUCCUGGGUUGCGACCCCGAGUACCGCGGGACCCGUGGAAUCCUGCGGGAAUCUGGGGGGACCACCCUCCAAGGCUAAAUACUACCCGCCGUCCGAUAGUGCACUAGUACCGUGAGGGAAAGGUGAAAAGAACCCCGGGAGGGGAGUGAAAUAGAACCUGAAACCGCAUGCCUACACUAAGUCGGAGCCCGAAAGGGUGACGGCGUGCCUUUUGCUUAAUGAGCCCGCGAGUUGCCGUCAGUGGCGAGGCUAAGCCGAGCGAGGCGGAGCCGUAGCGAAAGCGAGUCCGAACAGGGCGUUAGUCACUGGCGGCAGACCCGAAGCCGGGUGAGCUACCCCUGGGCAGGAUGAAGGUGGGCUAAACCCCACUGGAGGUCCGAACCGGUGGACAGUGAAAAGUCCUCGGAUGACCUGGGGGUAGGAGUGAAAAGCUAAUCGAACCCGGUGAUAGCUGGUUCUCCCCGAAACGCAUUGAGGUGCGGCCUCGGGUGGUCUGUGCAGGGGGUAGAGCACUGAUAGGGCUAGGGGGGUAACCUCCGAACCCUGUCAAACUCCGAAUCCCUGCACAUAAAGCCCGGGAGAGAGACUGUGGGGGAUAAGCUCCAUGGUCGAGAGGGGAACAGCCCAGAUCGCCGGCUAAGGGCCCGGAGAGGUGGCUAAGUGGUAAAGGAUGUGGUGCACCUAAGACAACUGGGAGGUUGGCUUAGAAGCAGCCAUCCUUUAAAGAGUGCGUAACAGCUCACCAGUCGAGGUGCGCUGCGCCGAAGAUGUAACGGGGCUCAAGCCACCCCCCGAAGCCGCGGGUCUGCACCGAUGAGGUGCAGGCGGUAGGGGAGCUUUCCGCUGUAGGGUGAAGGCAGACCCGCGAGGGCUGCUGGACGAGGCGGAAGUGAGAAUGCGGGCAUGAGUAUGCGAGAGGAGAGUGAGAAUCUCUCCCCCCGUAAGCCCAAGGGUACCUGGGGAAGGGUCGUCCGCCCAGGGUUAGCCGGUACCCUAAGGUAAACCCGAAAGGGGUAGCCGAAGGGAAGCUGGUUAAUAUUCCAGCGCCACCUGCAAUCGAGGUGCAAGGGGUGACGCAGGAGGGUAGGCGCCGAGGGUAAGUGGCAUUCCCUUCCAAGCGGUUAGGGCGUUGAUGGGUGUAGGUAAAUCCGCACCUGGAGCCUGAGCCGUGAUGGGGAGGACCCGUGAGGGUCCAACGGCGCUGACCCCACACUGCCGAGAAAAACCUCGUGCACCGCUUGAGAUUGCAGGUGACCGUUCCGCAAACCGACACAGGUGGGCGGGCCGAGAAGGCUCAGGGGAGCGGGAUAACCCUCGCCAAGGAACUCGGCAAGUUGACCCCGUAACUUCGGGAGAAGGGGUGCCGCGGUAGGGUGAACCCAGGGGAAGGGGCAACCCGGAAACUGGGGGAGCCCGAGGCGGUCGCAGAGACCAGGCCCUGGCGACUGUUUACCAAAAACACAGGCCUCUGCAAACUCGUAAAGAGGAUGUAUAGGGGCUGACGCCUGCCCAGUGCCGGAAGGUUAAGGGAAGGGGUGAGGCCGUAAGGCGUAGCUCCGACCCGAAGCCCCGGUAAACGGCGGCCGUAACUAUAACGGUCCUAAGGUAGCGAAAUACCUUGUCGGGUAAGUUCCGACCUGCAUGAAUGGCGUAACGACUGGGGCGCUGUCUCGGCGAGGGGCCCGGUGAAAUUUCAGUGAGGGUGAAGAUGCCCUCAACCUGCGGCUAGACGGAAAGACCCCGUGGAGCUUCACUGCAGCCUGGUAUUGGAUUCUGGCGCACCGUGUACAGGAUAGGUGGGAGGCUGUGAACCCGGCUCGCCAGGGUCGGGGGAGCCACCGGUGGGAUACCACCCUCGGUGUGUCGGAAUUCUAACCUGAACCUGUGAAGAGCAGGUUGGGGACAGUGCCAGGUGGGCAGUUUGACUGGGGCGGUCGCCUCCUAAAAGGUAACGGAGGCGCGCGAAGGUCGGCUCAGGUGGGUUGGAAAUCCACCGUUGAGUGCAAGGGCAUAAGCCGGCCUGACUGUGAGGCCGACGGGCCGAGCAGAGGGGAAACCCGGCCCUAGUGACCCGACGACUCCGGGUGGAAGGGUCGUCGACAACGGACAAAAGUUACCCCGGGGAUAACAGGCUAGUCUCGCCCGAGAGUUCACAUCGACGGCGAGGUUCGGCACCUCGAUGUCGGCUCAUCCCAUCCUGGGGCUGAAGCAGGUCCCAAGGGUUAGGCUGUCCGCCUAUUAAAGGGGUACGUGAGCUGGGUUCAGACCGUCGCAAGACAGGUCGGUCCCUAUCGGCCGCAGGCGCAGGAGGUUUGAGGGGGGUCGCCCCUUGUACGAGAGGACCGGGGUGAGCGGGCCUCUGGUGUACCGGCUGUCCUGCCAAGGGCAUUCGCCGGGUAGCUAUGCCCGUGAGCGAUAACCGCUGAAGGCAUCUAAGCGGGAAGCGCGCCCCAAGAUUAGACCUCCCAUCCCGUUAAGGGAGUAAGGCCGGUCCGAGAAGAGGACCUUGAUAGGCCGGUGGUGUAAGCGCCGCAAGGCGUUGAGCCAACCGGUACUAAUCGGCCGAGGCCUUGACCUC